AUGGUAAAUCACGAGUUGGUGACCAAUUGGAUCUUGGAUCUGUGGAAAAAACUCCAGCGUCAGAGGGAACUCUCCAAGUUUUGCCCGGAGCAAACGGAAGGGUGGCGUUGCCAUCUCCUAAGACGGGAAAAUGGCAGGUGUCACAGGUUGCAGGGGAAGGUGGGAGACCAGUUGAGGGCCCCGGAGCCUUCCUGGAAAGAGUUUCCCAUGCAGCCCGUUUCGGUUUCCGCAUCCGAGUCCUUUAUGAUCUUGGGGGUGCCGGGGUCUGGGUCCUUUAUGAUGCAGAGGGUAUCCCCGUCUCACCCCGGGCCCCUCCCCGCUCCCGGCUCCUCCUGGCAACCCGGUGCGCGGCUCCGGCCCUGGAGACCCGCGACGGUCUCUCCACUUGCUGCUUCCUCGCAAAGGCGCAUCUCUAUGCCAGUGGUGAGCUGCGGCGGGGUCGCUGCAACUCGCUCCAGGACUCGGGACUCUGGCCUUGGUGUCCCUCGCGGAGCCCUCGGUGUGUCGCCUGCAAGCUCUGUUUUUUUAAGAAAGCAGGGAAGCAACGGCCAUGUGAGACGACUCCAGGAGCAAAGAGCGACCCUCACAAAGCCCAAGUCCUGCCAGAGUACAGGGAAACUGUCGCUUCAGACCGAAGAAAGGAGAGAAAGCACCUUUCCGUAUCUCCCUGGUGGUCUAGUGGCUAGGAUUCGGCGCUUUCACCGCUGCGGCCCGGGUUCGAUUCCCGGUCAGGGAACUGUUUUGCACUGGCCGCCUUCCCGCGGGAAUCUUCCUUUAUUACACUGUCAGUCGGCCUGCUCCAAGGGCCAGAUGCAGAACAGCCUCCGCAGCAAGGGGCACACCCGGGCGAAGUCGGGCAAGUCGUGGUGGACCACCUUUCACGACACACUGCUCCUACUUAUGUCCGUGUCCGUGAUCCGCAGACGCGGCUUUAGAGAGCGACUGAGCGUCUCACUCAGGUG